rnacentral:rRNA from 2 species
CUUCCCUUUUGAGCGGCGGACGGGUGAGUAACACGUGGGUAACCUGCCUGUAAGACUGGGAUAACUCCGGGAAACCGGGGCUAAUACCGGAUGCUUGUUUGAACCGCAUGGUUCAAACAUAAAAGGUGGCUUCGGCUACCACUUACAGAUGGACCCGCGGCGCAUUAGCUAGUUGGUGAGGUAAUGGCUCACCAAGGCAACGAUGCGUAGCCGACCUGAGAGGGUGAUCGGCCACACUGGGACUGAGACACGGCCCAGACUCCUACGGGAGGCAGCAGUAGGGAAUCUUCCGCAAUGGACGAAAGUCUGACGGAGCAACGCCGCGUGAGUGAUGAAGGUUUUCGGAUCGA